CGGAGAUCUUUGUGGGCUAUACUCGGCCUUGUCUCAGGAUGGGCCUGAGCCCUAGGACCAUGCCUCAGGACUACCUGGCCUGAUGACUCCUUGCUGUCCCCAUUCCACCUGGCCGUGCUGCUACUCCAGUUUAAACUGUUCUGCCUGCGGCUAUGGAACCCUGACCUGUUCACCGGACAUGCUACCUGUCCCAGACCUGCUGUUUUCAACUCUCUAGAGACAGCAGGAGCGGUAGAUAUACUCUGAAUGAUCGGCUAUUAAAAGCCAACUGACAUUUACUCCUGAGGUGCUGACCUGUUGCAACCUCGACAACCACUGUGAUUAUUAUUAUUUGACCCUGCUGGUCAUCUAUGAACAUUUGAACAUCUUGGCCAUGUUCUGUUAUAAUCUCCACCCGGCACAGCCAGAAGAGGACUAGCCACCCCUCAUAGCCUGGUUCCUCUCUAGGUUUCUUCCUAGGUUCUGGCCUUUCUAGGGAGUUUUUCCUAGCCACCGUGCUUCUACACCUGCAUUGUUUGCUGUUUGGGGUUUUAGGCUGGGUUUCUGUACAGCACUUUGAGAUAUCAGCUGAUGUAAGAAGGGCUUUAUAAAUACAUUUGAUAUGAUUUUGAUUUGACUCGGUACUGGUAGCCGGUGUUGAUAGCCAAGUAACGUUACUCAUUGUGUAUUUAUUUCUUGUGUUAUUAUUUUUCUAUUUAUUCUAUUAUUUAAUUUGACAGAGCACAGGAUGAGAUUUAUUCCUAAAAAACAGGGACAAAACAAGUGUGAGACCCCCUUCCCCCUCCUCAGACCACAUCCCUGUGUCUGAUAUGAAAGGCGAAAAUGACUGACAUUUAUCUCCAUUGUGUUUGAGUGUGUGUGUUUGUAUUACUAUCCUUGUGGGUACGGGAAAUCCCCCAAAGUCCCCACAAGGAUAGUAAAACAAUAAAAAUUCUCCCUUGUCCUCAUGAGGACAAAGGCUAUUUUAAGCUUAGAGGUUAGGUUUAUGGUUGCAAUUAGGGUUAGAAUUAGGGAUAGGUUUAGGGGUUAGUUUAGGGUUAGGGAAAAUCAGAAGUUUUUUAGGUCCCCACAAGGAUAGUAAAACAUAUGCUGUGUGUUUGUGUUUUCCGGGAUGGACAGAGAAACUAUUUCACAUGGACCCCUCUGCAGUCAUUCCAGUAUUUUAAAGAGCAGAUCAGCCGUUCUGGUUAUGUUACCAUUUUCCCUGCUAUCGUUUAUGUGCUGGAGUCACAGUCAGUUAUCUUGACUAAUGGUCACAGCCAGUGGCGACACGUCAUUCAGCCCAUCCUGUUUUUUUUAUUUGUUUUUUUUCAUACUUCGUUUUUAUUGUAGGAACACAAAUAAAGUAAAAUAAAAGAACUACAAAAAAGAUCUGGCAGUUAUAGUGCACAUCAUACCUUCAUCAUAUUAGUUACAUUGACAUCUUUGAAUUAGACCUUUUCCAAGUAGUUCCCAGUAUUCCUGACCUCUCUCCUCUUGUGUUCUUAAAGCAAAGGUCAUACGCUCCAUGUGGGUGAAAGAUUACAGCCUUGUCUUGCCCCUCGCUCUAAUUUUAUCGUUCGUGACAAAUGUCCAUUUAUCUUUAUUCUGG
rnacentral:lncRNA from 1 species